AACAGUUGAAAGCCCUCCGGUUUAACUGACUUUGUGGACAUCUUCUGUCUUCCACCCCCAUGGCACAAUGUGGCGCUGGCUGCACAGAAGGCAAAGUCAUGGGCAAUAGGCGAGGCAUCCUGAAGAUUCAUGCCCCAGCCACAUGACCAGUUUUUAAAGCUGCUCCUUUAAAAACCUUUCUAAAUCUCACGCUGGUUAUUACGUGAGCCAGCAAUUUCCCCAGGGAGUUUUUCUGGGGAAUUAUCUGAGUUUCCCUUUUUGGUUUACCGUAAGGUUACCAGAUGUUUUUCAAUGAAUCCGAGGACACUUUUCAACCUCAAUGGAUUUUGUAUGGGGACUGGUUUGUAAAUCCGGGGACUGUCACUGGGAACCGGGGAUGCUUGCUAACAUUAGUUUACCAUCAAAACUGGAGCAGAAUGACUCUCUGCCUCAGAUGCCAAAUGGGUAUCAGGUAGCCAGGGCUUCUGCCUAUGAAUCUUGAAGCAACCAACAGACUAAAACCCCUGGAAAGCCGCCACUGUGGAACAAGGCUCUCUGUUGGGGAAAAUGAAGGAUCUCCAGGAGAAAGAGCCCCUCAUUGAGGAGAUCUGGGACCUCCUGCUUUCCCAGUUUGACGUGGGUGCAAGCAAAGUGGUCCAGCAGUCCAUCAUCAAAUUCAGCUUGCAGCAGGCCAGGGCCCUGCAGUUCCUGCGGACCAAGCAGCGGAAGGAUGCUCACUUGCAACACUUCAUCCAGGAGAUGGAGGAGAAGCUGUGGAGCGUUACACGGCCUGUGAAUUGCUGCAAAAGAGGAACAUCUAGCAAAAACCAGCUGUGUUGAAAUGUCUUCUACAGCAUCUUCUCAUACGAGCACCAAAAAAACCGCCACCCUGUUCCGAUAGCCACAGAUGGCAAGUGCCUAUUUUCCUCCUCAAAACUCUAUGUUGCAGAAGGGAGUUUGGAUCCCCCUGAGGCUAGCCCCAGAGGCCUGUUUAAGCAAGGAAAGCAACUAUUUUGCUAAACACAAGUUCAGAGCGGAAAGAAAGUGUUCUGAAGUUAUUGUGUUAUUCAGUAGUUGAUCUUAUCCUCCUUGAAGAUGACUCCAUUUGUACAGCAGAAGUUCCUUCUUUGGGGCCAAUAUUUAUUGGGGUCCGUCCCCCCAAAUUUUUAACAAAACAGUGCCAAAUUACAUCAAAUUUAAGACAAAAAAGUUAACUUCCGGCUCUAGUUCCUUGAUGCAUCCCUGUUCCCCCCCUGUUGCAGUUGAUGUAAUGUAUUUAUCUCUGACAAUUUAUUCCUCAUCUUCAAUUCCUUAUCCAACAGCUGUUGGUUUAUCAAUUCCUGCUCAUACGGUCAGGCAGAAGUUCCAUUCAGGUCUCCUUGUCUAAGCUGGGCCCCAUACCUCCCGGCACCACUGCUCAGGACUGCUGUGAGGAUCCUUGUCUUUGCUUUUAUUUACAAUAUUUUGUUCAAGCUGGCACCCAUAGGUGCCAUGUCCAGGGGGUCCUGGGGGCCCAGGCGCCAUAAAAAUUUGCCCCCUGCCACCCACUCCGGUGACUGGGCCUGUGUCUCUACCAUGUGUGUGUGUUUUGGCAUGAGAUGUCAUUUCUUCCACGUACCCACAGUCUUCUUCUUGCUGAUGCGCAGCUGCAGAGGCCCCUCCUGGAUUAUGUGGUGCUCCGUGAGGUCAAGGUUCUGCACAGCAGGGGCAGAAAAAGGCAGCAUUUCAUGGAGGGGAAGAGCAGGACAAGGCCAGGGAUUGGAGGGGAGGGCAAAGAGGAGACCUUACCAGGAAGUGCCUGGCCAGUGGGCGGCUGCCCUUGCGUAGGGAUCGGGCAUCCAGACACUGUUGGUAGGCUUGCAGCCGUCGGUGGAUCUCUGCCUGCCUCAGCUCUGCCUGGUCUUCCUCAAGGAUCUCCUUGCACUCAUUGCGUGCCAGGCAAAGGCACUGGUGCUCCCAGCUCGCCCCUGAGCGAAGAAGGUGCAGAGCGAGAGGGUGAUAGAGAGAGAGACAUGGGCAAAGUUGGUUUCGUUUUAGUUUGAAACCCAAAGCAGCUCCCAGCGCAAACCAUUAGUGUGCUGGAUGGUGUUAUUCAGCAGCAGAGAGUAGCUGGCCAGGCGCCGCAGCUCACAAUCCAGGAAAUCGGUCAGCUGGCGGUGGUGGCAUUCAGGGCUGCUCUCAAUGUCCUGGGAGAGGCAGAGAAGGAAGCAGACAGACAACGUGUUUCUGGACAGCAGAGAGUCGGCCACCUCCAGGAUCACAAGCAACAAAGCAAGUGGGGUGAGUCUUGCUGCUCAGCUCCCGCUUGCUAUGGGGCUUCUCCUUCAGGGUAGCUGGGCGGCUGCUGUCAGAACAGGAGGCUGCCCCUCAUUCCAAGGAAACCAAACCUAGAGAAAGCCCCCGGACCCCCUGGAAUCUCACACCACCUGGAGAUUUGGGUGUCACCUAAUCUACACCACCUAGCUGGUUCUCCUGCACUCUGGCAUUUGCCCAGGGAGUGAGCAGCAGGGAGAAGAGGACAGGCUGCCUGCCCCCCCCCCGAAUGGGAAAAGAGGGACAGUGCCAAGCCAGCAGCUGAGAAGGCCCCUACCUUGAGCUCAGCUGCCUCUUCUUACACAGCUUACCUGGAUGACACACCCCUCUGCUGCUUCGAUUGAAGGAACUCCAGGGCCCUGGCUGCUGCAAGCUGCAUUUGGUAAUGGCCUGCUGGAGCUCCUCGCUUGCAGCCACACCAAACUGGGGGGAAGGAAGGAAGGGGGCAGGGGAGAGAGAGGAAACAUGCCUGGUGAGCAUCAGGAAAUUAAGGGCCCAAGGAUACUGAAGACCCACAGGCGGCCCCCUCCCAGUUGCCGCCAGCCUCUCCGCCCUGCUCUGGGAUCCUUACCUGGGAAAGCAGGAGGUCCCAGAUCUCCUCAAUGAGGGGCCCUUUCUCCUGGAGAUCCUUCAUUUUCCCUGACAGAGAACCUGGGAGGGAAGAUACAUGGGAGGGGAGGUUGAGCAAAGCAACUGGGAGUGGGGGAAUAAAGAAUAACCCCUGCAGGGAGAGGAGGGGGACGGAGAUCAUCCUGUUGUUUUUAGUGUCACUUUGUCAGUGGUGGAGAGAUAAUAUGUCUUGUGCGUGACAUAACUAAGUAAAAACUAAAUUUGGAUCUACAAUGUAAUACAAAAUGUGAAUGUAUAAAUACAGUACAGUGGUACCGCAGGUUAAGUACUUAAUUUGUUCUGGAGGUCCUUUCUUAACCUGAAACUGUUCUAAACUGAAGCACCAUUUUAGCUAAUGGGGCCUCCCGCUGCCACCACGCCGCCAGAACACGAUUUCUGUUCUCAUCCUGAAGCAAAGUUCUUAACCUGAAGCACUAUUUCUGGGUUAGCGGAGUCUGUAACCUGAAGCGUAUGUAACCUGAGGUACCACUGUAUUAAAAAAAUCCAAGAGAAUGCAAUAGAAAAUAAACAAGCCUUCAGGACCUUUUCAAAAGACCUGCAGUAAUAUAGUCCUCUCGGCAGAGCUUUCCACAAAUGCCCAAAGACAUACCCGCCAACAUUUCUCCGAUGGAAAUAGGGAUGUCCCAUUCCAUAAUGAUAAUGACCACAGUGGUACCUCGGGUUACAUAUGCUUCAGGUUACAUACGCUUCAGGUUACAGACUCCGCUAACCCAGAAAUAGUACCUCGGGUUAAGAACUUUGCUUCGGGAUGAGAACAGAAAUUGUGCUCCGGCGGCGUGGCGGCAGCAGGAGGCCCCAUUAGCUAAAGUGGUGCUUCAGGUUCAGAACAGUUUCAGGUUAAGAACAGACCUCCGGAACGAAUUAAGUACUUAACCUGAGGUACCACUCUACAGUCAUACCUUGGGAUGAAUAUGCUUCAGGAUAAACAUUUUCGGGUUGUGCUCCGCGGCGACCCGGAUGUAACAGAGCGCGUUACUUCCGGCUUUUGCCACGGAUGCAUGCGCAGACUGUCAAAAUGACGUCACGCGCAUGCGCAGAAGCACCGAAACGCGAUACGCACAGACACGGGUUACGUUUGCUUUGGGAUGCAAAUGGGGCUCCGGAACGGAUCCCGUUCGCAUCCCUAGGUACCACUGUAUAGGAAAUAUGAAAUUCUAUGUAAAUAUUAUGUAUAUGCACUGGAACAUCAAUAAAUGGUCCAUGAAAAAAAAUAUGUGUGCCCAGGCCCCCAGGCCCCCCUGGACUUAGCACCUAAGGGCGCCAACCUGAACAAAAUAUUGUAAAUAAAAGCCGUCCGUGGCUGCAGCCGGCCCCAACAGAGGACUCUCGUGAGCAGGAAUUGACAUAUAGAUUGGCAAAUAGAUUGAAAAUUUUAAUCUUAAAAUUUGGAUUGAAGAUUAAAGAAAUGGAACAUUUUAUUUUAAUGUUUACAGAGUUUUUCAUUCAUAAAAGUGAGUUUAUAGGCCUUAAUUAAUAAUGUUAUUAUUGGGUGGGUGGGGGAUGGGUUGUUUGUUUAUUUUUUGUUCAUGUUGUCAUGUAUUUAGUGCUUUUAUAUUGCAUUUUUAUGUUGUCAGCACCCUGAGUUCUGUGGAUUAAGGGCAAUGUACACUUUUAAUAAAUACAUUUAAUGAUAAUAA